GGUGAUUCAGUUAUCGUAGAUGUUGAUUCUGAUGGGAAUGUUACUGUGCUCAAUGGUAGUAGUGGUGCUCCUGAAUCGUUGGAGGAACCAAUUCCUGUUGUCUAAUCCGGACCCUGUUUUCUUUAUUGAUGUUGUUUGUACCUUUUUCACUGUAACUGGCUAUUUAUGAUGGUAGUCUCUUUCUUGAAAGCACUGCUGGGCAUUAGAGUGGGAAGCUUAGGCAGCCAUUAUUUGAUUGAUUUUGGGCUUUAAAGCUGUAUUUGUUACUCAUAAGUAGUUUGGUUUUCAUGCUUCAGUUGCAGGGGCAGAUAGGAGGAAGUCGGGGUGGGUUAGGCUUUGCAGAUUAUAUUUAAGGAUGUACUGACUGAUAGGGUUAGGCUUUACAUGGUUUUUACACUGCCACGGGCUGCAGAACUCAAUUACCAUUGCAUAUUCAUGCAUGCAAGUGUCUUUCAUCCUUCUUGGUAUUGGUAUGUAAGUUGUAUAUCUUGUAUUCACCUUAAGUUUCUAUAGAUCUAAAUAGACUAUAACCUCUCUAACUGGCAGCUGUUUCAAUUCAAUGCGUCAUCCAAGUACAAGACACUAACAGACUAAUAUGAUUUUGGUUGGAUUCAUCUUAUAUUUUUUAAACUAAUAUGGUUUAGGAAGCCUAACAGAUAAUGUUCUAGAUGAGAAUACGAUAUUCAAGGCGUUUUCAUAAUCAACAUAUACAUAUAUGAACAAGAUGUUUGAGUUCUUAUGACCCAGAAAAGCAGCAGGAAAUUUUUUUUUUUACUCAGUGGGUGCUCACUGAGCACUACAAAGAGCGAAGUAUCGGGUAUUGCUAGCCAUUAUAAGCUGCAUGAGAUUGUCGGUUUGUAGGACUGACACUUGAACCCCGACUCAACUUGAGUGCCUCCAAAGCCUUCUGUAUCUCCAUAUUCAUGGCACUAUCCACACUCCCUGAUGAUAGUUUCUUGUGUGAUUUCUGCAAAUGAAGCUUAAGUGAGCUACUACUCAGACCAGCAUUCUUUCCACAGAUAGGACACACUUUCAUCAUUGGUCUUCUAUGCUGCCAUUCCAUAGACAUCCUCCCAUAUAGUUUGUGAUCAAGAU
rnacentral:lncRNA from 1 species